GACGAACACUGGCGGCGUGCUUAACACAUGCAAGUCGAACGGAAAGGCCCAGCUUGCUGGGUGCUCGAGUGGCGAACGGGUGAGUAACACGUGGGUGAUCUGCCCCUAACUUCGGGAUAAGCUUGGGAAACUGGGUCUAAUACCGGAUAGGACAAUCGUUUAGUGUCGGUUGUGGAAAGUUUUUUCGGUUAGGGAUGAGCCCGCGGCCUAUCAGCUUGUUGGUGGGGUAAUGGCCUACCAAGGCGUCGACGGGUAGCCGGCCUGAGAGGGUGGACGGCCACAUUGGGACUGAGAUACGGCCCAGACUCCUACGGGAGGCAGCAGUGGGGAAUAUUGCACAAUGGGCGCAAGCCUGAUGCAGCGACGCCGCGUGGGGGAUGACGGCCUUCGGGUUGUAAACCGCUUUCGACAGGGACGAAGCUUUGGUGACGGUACCUGUAGAAGAAGCACCGGCUAACUACGUG
rnacentral:rRNA from 1 species